rnacentral:pre_miRNA from 1 species
CAAGUACUCCCUCCGUUCGGAAUUACUCGUCGAAGAAAUGAAUGUAUUUAGAUGUAUUUUAAUUAUAGAUACAUCCAUUUUCGUGACAAGUAUUUUCGAACGGAGGGAGUAAUAC